UACGUAGGGUGCGAGCGUUGUCCGGAAUUACUGGGCGUAAAGAGCUCGUAGGUGGUUUUGUCGCGUCGUUUGUGUAAAGUCCCACGGCUUAACUGUGGGAUGGCAGGCGAUACGGGCAUAACUUGAGGUGCUGUGAGGGGAGACGUGAAUUCCUGGUGUAGCGGUGAAAUGCGCAGAUAUCAGGAGGAACACCGAUGGCGAAGGCAGGUCUCUGGGCAGUAACUGACGCUGAGGAGCGAAAGCAUGGGUAGCGAACAGG
rnacentral:rRNA from 1 species